UACGUAGGUGGCAAGCGUUGUCCGGAUUUAUUGGGUUUAAAGGGUGCGUAGGCGGUCUAUUAAGUCAGUUGUGAAAUACGGCAGCUCAACUGUCGAGGUGCAAUUGAUACUGGUGGACUUGAGUACUGAUGAGGUAAGCGGAAUGGUCGGUGUAGCGGUGAAAUGCUUAGAUAUCGUCCAGAACACCGAUAGCGAAGGCAGCUUACUAAGGAGUAACUGACGCUGAGGCACGAAAGUGUGGGGAUCAAACAGG
rnacentral:rRNA from 1 species